rnacentral:lncRNA from 1 species
CGGGUAUAAUGAACUCCCAUACCUCUAUGAUACAACAAGAUUGUUAACAACUGAUCUAUGAUCAGAUUAUCGAAAAAUAUACUAAAGAUGAGAUCACAUGUAGGUAUAGUUGCAAGCUUUCUAUCUGGAGUAUAUCCCUUUUUCUUUUUUCUUUUUUAAUGACAGGGGAAUUCGUAAUCGCUAUCAUUCGGGUGCGCACUGUGUAAACUUUCGGGCUGACGCAAUAACUUGCAAAUCACGCCAGUCAGGUAAAUCGCACUAGGCAAGUCCGGUAUGACAGAUUCGACCGAAAAAAGUGUUGAUAGGGAAAACUCGGGAUUAAAGGCCUCCGUGCUCACCUACUCCACCAGUUUGGCCAUCCAAUUAGGGGCUAGCUGGAGUAUAUCUUGCUACUAGAGCUUGUCGACCGGUGUCUGGGAGGCUUGUGAUACCUGGGAUCGAAUGGACGGUCCAUCACAAGGGGGGACAAGUUCAAUAGGGAAACGGAUAAUAUAUCCAAAAUUCAAUCUCAUUACAUUUGAAAAAUCAGAAAAUUUUGACUUGUGAUUCAUCCCGAGGACUGGAUGGGCUGUCUGUCAACUCGUUCAAUAGAAAAUGGAGAAUUAUAUACAAAAUUCAAUCUUAAUACAUUUAAAAAAUCAGAAAAUUUUGACUCGAAAGAGUCACGACAGUUCACCCUGGAACUGUGUGAAUUAGAAUCUGUCUUUAUUAUGCAUCUCACUUUAUUUUAAGGUAUGCAUGAUAUGAGUAUACACGUACACCUGUUAAUAACAUACAUUUGGUACUUGGAUAAUUU